CAGUAGCCGCGGUAAUACAGAGGGUGCGAGCGUUAAUCGGAUUUACUGGGCGUAAAGCGUGCGUAGGCGGCUUCUUAAGUCGGAUGUGAAAUCCCUGAGCUUAACUUAGGAAUUGCAUUCGAUACUGGGAAGCUAGAGUAUGGGAGAGGAUGGUAGAAUUCCAGGUGUAGCGGUGAAAUGCGUAGAGAUCGGAAGGAACAUCUGUGGCGAAGGCGACUAUCUGGGCCAACACUGACACUGAGGCACGAAAGCGUGGGGAGCAAACAGGAUUAGAUACCCCAGUAGUCCAUGUCUCUUAUAC
rnacentral:rRNA from 1 species